rnacentral:rRNA from 1 species
AAUCAACGCUGGCGGCGUGCCUCAGACAUGCAAGUCGAACGAUUAAAGCUCUCUUCGGAGAGUGUAUAGAGUGGCGCACGGGUGAGUAACACGUAAGUAAUCUACCUUCGAGUGGGGAAUAACGUCCGGAAACGGACGCUAAUACCGCAUAAUGCAGCGGCAUCGCAAGAUGACAGUUGUUAAAGAUUUAUCGCUUGAAGAGGAGCUUGCGGCAGAUUAGCUAGUUGGUAAGGUAAUGGCUUACCAAGGCUACGAUCUGUAACCGGUCUAAGAGGACGGUCGGUCACACUGACACUGAAUAACGGGUCAGACUCCUACGGAGGCAGCAGUCGGGAAUUUUGGGCAAUGGGCGAAAGCCUGACCCAGCAACGCCGCGUGAAGGAUGAAGUAUUUCGGUAUGUAAACUUCGAAAGAAUGGGAAGAAUAAAUGACGGUACCAUUUAUAAGGUCCGGCUAACUACGUGCCAGCCGCCGCCGUAAU